GUGCUAGCUUUGUUCACACAUACACUAAAACUGGAACAACAUAGAUUAGCAUGGGCCCUGCACAAGGAUGACACAAAAAUUCAUGAAGAGUUUACAAAAAGAUUUUUUU